AGUGAACGCUGGCGGCGUGCUUAACACAUGCAAGUCGAACGAGAACGGGUUAUAGCUUGCUAUAAUUGUCAGCUAAGUGGCGCACGGGUGAGUAAUGUAUAGGUAAUAUGCCUCUUACUAAGGGAUAACAAUUGGAAACGAUUGCUAAUACCUUAUACUCCUUAUUAACCUAAGUUAAUAAGGGAAAGAUUUAUUGGUAAGAGAUUAGCCUGUAUUGUAUCAGUUAGUUGGUGGGGUAAUGGCCUACCAAGACUAUGACCCAUAACUGGUGUGAGAGGAUGAUCAGUCACACUGGAACUGAGAAACGGUCCAGACUCCUACGGGAGGCAGCAGUGGGGAAUAUUGCACAAUGGACGAAAAUCUGAUGCAGCAACGCCGCGUGGAGGAUGACACAUUUCGGUGCGUAAACUCCUUUUAUAUGAGAAGAUAAUGACGGUAUUAUAUGAAUAAGCACCGGCUAACUCCGUGCCAGCCGCCGCGGUAA
rnacentral:rRNA from 1 species